rnacentral:rRNA from 1 species
UUUUUAGACCUUCCUGGAGGAGCUUGCCAUUGAACCGAUAACCCACGAAAUACCUCACCAGCCCUUGAAAUAAACCAACUUGUAUACCAUCGUCGUCAGUUUACCUCUUAAGAAAAGUACACUCAAAGAAAUACCACUCUUAACGUCAGAUCGAGGUGCAGUAUAUGGGCUGGGAAUGAGUGAGCUACAAUAAUAAACCAAAAACAAUAAAAUUCCGAUUAUGGAAAACUAUUUGAAAAUAGUAGUUUAAAAUAGGAUUCAGCAGUAAUAUCCUAAACAGAAAGUAGGUAUGAAGCUAGCUCUAAAAUGCGC